GAUGAACGCUAGCGGCAGGCCUAAUACAUGCAAGUCGAACGGUGUCUUCGGACAUAGUGGCGCACGGGUGCGUAACACGUAUGCAACCUACCUUACAUUGGGGGAUAGCCUUUCGAAAGGGAGAUUAAUACCGCAUAAGACAGUAGCUGGGCAUCCAGCAGCUGUUAAAGAUUUAUCGAUGUAAGCUGGGCAUGCGUCCAAUUAGCUAGUUGGUGAGGCAACGGCUCACCAAGGCAAUGACUGGUAGGGGAACUGAGAGGUCAAUCCCCCACACUGGCACUGAGAUACGGGCCAGACUCCUACGGGAGGCAGCAGUAGGGAAUAUUGGGCAAUGAACGCAAGUCUGACCCAGCCAUGCCGCGUGCAGGAUGAAGGCGUUAUGCGUUGUAAACUGCUUUUAUACAGGAAGAAACGACUCUUGCGAGAGGCAUUGACGGUACUGUAUGAAUAAGCACCGGCUAACUCCGUGCCAGCCGCCGCGGUAACAC
rnacentral:rRNA from 1 species